UGUCAGUGUUAUACAUUUUUGUGAAGAGCUGACAACACCGCUAGUGAUCUUGCCAGAUUUCUAGCCAAAAGUUAACUUGUAACUGGAGGCCUUACUAAAUUGGAUGACAAGCCGGAGAGUUACCUUAGUAGGAAAGCUGUUUUCCUGAGCACCAUCAACAGAAAAUGGACAAUGCUGGGCUCAAAGUAUAAAGAAGAUCACAAUGCCAAGCUAAGGCCAGGAAUGACCCAAGCUUCACCACAGCGAACAACCCAUCGUUCCACCCAAGAGUCAUCCAGCCAAAGAUUUCCAGAUUGCGAUAGUGUGACGAAUGUGACAGUGAAAGACAUCUCGCAGCUCUUCACCCAGGUCCAGCACCGCCUCCACCCAAGCAUGUUUUACCCCGCGAAGAGCGCAGCGGGCAGCAAGAAGCUUGGCAAAACGUUGAUGUGACAGCCACUUAUAUAGAGAACUUCAGACACUUUUACGAUUCUACGGACAACCUGAAUUUCUAUGAAGAGGAAAUUAGCAACUGGUGCAACUGGGAUACACAGACGUCCCGAAAAACAGACUGCAAGAGUUCAAGCAAGAUCUGAAAGAGUUGAUUUAAAAUGGCAGCUUACCCAGCGUGUCUACUACUUUUAGGGCAACGACACACUUCACACAUUGGUGCCCGACACCCGCAGUAGACGCCUCAUCAGAAGAAUUCUUGAGGAAGCUAGAAGGACAGUCGGUAGUCGGCUAUGAAUCCUACUACAGGCAAGAUUCCGAUUGCUCCAGUUUGCUGCAAAAUAAUCUGUCCGACCUGCACAUACAUGACUCCGAAAAUGACAAAGCCAGCAUCCUAAGUGCGAGAGUUCGAGCAAGAUCUGGAAGAGUUGAUUCAAAACGGCAGCUUGCCCAGCGCGUCUACUACUUCGGAUGACACCAAGGUGAAACUCAGACCACCCGUCUUCACCAAGGAAAAAGUUGGGCCGCGUGACAUCGGCACGUCUCCUGGGAGCUAUUUUCUACAGGACAAGGGCUGUAACACUCAAGUUCUAAGUCCAAGUGCCCAACAAUAUGGAGGGAUGCAGCAGCAACACAUGGGCAAUGAGACAACUCACACAUUGGUGCCCAACACCAGCGGCAGACGCUUUGUCACAAGAAAGGUUUUGAGGAAGAUUGAAGAACAAUCAGUAGUCUGCAAUGAAUCCUACUACAGGCAAUAUUCUGAUUGCUCCAGUUUGCUGCAAAAUAGUCUGUCCGAGCUGCACAUGCAUGACAACUCCAGUAUCUAAGUGCGAGAAUUCAAGCAAGAUCUGGAAGAGUUGAUUCAAAAUGUCGGCUUGCCCAGCGCGUCUACUACUUUGGAUGACACCAAGGUGAAACCCUGACCACCCGUCUUCACCAAGGAAAAAAUUUGCCGAUGUCACCUGGGAGCUAUUUUCAACAGAACAAGGGCCGUAACACUCAAGUUCUAAGUCCAAAUGCCCAAAUAUAUGGAAGCAUGCAGCAGCACCACAAGGGCAACGAGACACCUCACACAUUGGAGCUCGACACCCGCGGCAGAUGCUUCGUCAAGUCUUGAGGAAAAUUGAAGGACAGUCGGGAGUCUGCGAUGAAUCCUACUACAAGCAAGAUUCUGAUCAGUAACGGUUUAUUCAAAAUAGCGGCUUUCCCAGCGCGCCUACUGCUUCUGCUGACAACAAGGUGAAUCCCAGACCACCCGCCUUCACCAAGGAGAUAGUUUGCCCAAGUGACAUCGGCACGUCUCCUGGGAGCUUUUAGGGUAACGAGACACCUCACACGUUGGUGCCCGAUACCCGAGGCAGACACCACAUCUCAAGUCUUGAGGAAGAUAGAAGGACAGUUGGUAUUCUGAUUGCUCCAGUUUGCUGCAGAAUAGUCAGACAGAGCUGCACAUACAUGACUCAGAAAAUGCCAAAGCCAGCAUGCUAAGAGAUGCAAUGGUGGGAAUCUCCCUCAGCAGCUUUGGUCCCUCUAGCACCCGCUCUACACAAACAAGUUGCGAACGCGACUUAUGGACAAAACCCAAAUCUUUCAAUCGACUGGUCAUGAACCAGCGGACAAUCAAGAAAAUGGACCCGAUAACUAGGUAUUUCCAGUAGCAGCAUCACAAGGGCAACGAGACACCUCACACAUUGGUGCCCGACACCCGUGGCAGACGCUUCGUCACGAGAAAAGUCUUCAGGAAGAGUGAAGGACAGUCAAUAGUCUGCGAUGAAUCCUAAUACAAGCAAGAUUCUGAUCAGGAACAGUUGAUUCAAAGUAGCGCCUUUCCCAGCGCGCCUAGUGCUUCUUCGGACGCCAAGGUGAAUCCCAGACCACCUGCCUUCACCAAGGAGAUAGUUUGCCCAAAUGACAUCGGCACAUCUCCUGUGAGCUUUUUGGGCAAGGAGAAACCUCAUACAUUGGUGCCCGACACCUGCGGCAGAUGCUUCGUCGCGAGAAAAGUCUUGAGGAAGAUUGAAGGACAGUUGGUAGUCUGCGAUGAAUCAUCUACAGGCCAGUAUCUGAUUACUCCAGUUUGCUGCAGAAUAGCCUGUCCAAGCUACACAUAUGUGACUCCGAAAAUGACAAAGCCAGAAUGCUAAGUGACAAGAUGGUGGCAAUCUCCCUCAGCAGCUCUGGAUCCUCCAGCAGCCGCUCUACACGAGCAAGUAGUGAGAGCGACUUACAGACAAAACCCAAAUCCUUCAUUCAACCGGUCAUGAACCAGCAGAAAACCAAGAAAAUUGACCCAGUAACCAGGUAUUUCCAGUACAGGCAGCUUUGGAAUGAGUUUAAACUGCCAGGAGAGCGAGACAACCAGGAACUCCGCUGGGAAAUCAGGGAGUGACUCGCAUAACAGCCGACCGUAACAUACAAGUUCUAAGUCCAAGUGCCCAAAAAGAUGGAUGCAUUCAGCAGCACCACAAGUGCAACGAGACACCUCACACAUUGGUGCCCGACACCCGCGGCAGACGCUUCGUCACGAGAAAAGUCUUGUGGAAUAUUAAAGGACAGUCAGUAGUCUGUGAUGAAUCCUACUCCAAGCAAUAUUCUGAUCAGGAACAGUUGAUUCAAAAUAGCGGCUUUUCCAGCGCACAAGUAUCUGAUUACUCCAGUUUUAAUAGCCUGUCAGAGCUGCACAUACAUGACUCCAAAAAUGACAAAGCCAGAAUGCUAAGUGACAUGAUGGCGGGAAUCUCCCUCAUCAGCUUUGGAUCCUCCAGCAGCCACUCUACACGAAAAUGUAGGGAGAGCGACUUACGGACGAAACACAAAUCCUUCAUCAUUAACGAGCAGACAAUCAAGAAAAUGGACCCAGUUAUCAGGUAUUUCAAGUACAAGCAGCUAUGGGAUGAGUUUAAACUGCCAGGAGAGCGAGGCCACCGGGAAUUCCGCUGACAAAACAAAACCUCUGAGAGGAAAUAUAAGUGAAUUUAAAUGUUGAUAAGAUUGUAUGGAAUCUAUGCCAGUAGUUAUUGCGACAGUUUUGUAAAUAUUUUUUAUGUUAUUUAUGAUGAUUCUGCAAUGUCUGUUUUAGCGAUAUUUGUUUGUUUUUCGCUAACUGUGGCGUGUAAAAAAUGUGGUAUUUCA